UACGAACUGUGCGAACGUUAUUCGGAAUCACUGGGCUUACAGGGUGCGUAGGCGGCCGAACAAGUCAGGUGUGAAAGCCCUCGGCUCAACCGAGGAACUGCGCUUGAAACUGUUUGGCUCGAGUCAACUAGAGGUGCACGGAACUUCCAGUGGAGCGGUGAAAUGCGAAGAUAUCGGAAGGAACGCCGGUGGCGAAAGCGGCGCACUGGACCUCUUCUGACGCUGAGGCGCGAAAGCUAGGGGAGCAAACGGG
rnacentral:rRNA from 1 species